CUGCAGGUCGACGAUUAGAGUUUGAUCCUGGCUCAGGAUGAACGCUAGCGGCAGGCCUAAUACAUGCAAGACGAACGGUAAGUGGUGUAGCAAUAUAUCACCAAGAGUGUCGUAAGGGUGCGUAACACGUAUGCAAUCUGCCCACAACAGGAGGAUAGCUCCCCGAAAGGGGAAUUAAUACUCCAUAAGAUCACACGAGGGCAUCUGAGAGUGAUUAAAUCUACGGAGGUUGUGGAUGAGCAUGCGGAUGAUUAGCUAGUUGGCGGUGUAACGGACCACCAAGGCGAUGAUCAAUAGGGGAACUGAGAGGUUUAUCCCCCACACUGGCACUGAGAUACGGGCCAGACUCCUACGGGAGGCAGCAGUAGGGAAUAUUGGACAAUGGGUGCAAGCCUGAUCCAGCCAUGCCGCGUGCAGGAAGAAGGCCUUCUGGGUCGUAAACUGCUUUUCUCUGGGGAUAAAAAGACCCUGCGGGGUAAAUUGAAGGUACCAGAGGAAUAAGCCACGGCUAACUACGUGCCAGCAGCCGCGGUAAUACGUAGGUGGCAAGCGUUGUCCGGAUUUAUUGGGUUUAAAGGGUGCGUAGGCGGCCCUGUAAGUCAGUGGUGAAAUACGGCAGCUCAACUGUCGAGGUGCCAUUGAUACUGCGGGGCUUGAGUGUUGAUGAGGUAGGCGGAAUUGACGGUGUAGCGGUGAAAUGCUUAGAUAUCGUCAAGAACACCGAUAGCGAAGGCAGCUUACCAAGCAAUAACUGACGCUGAGGCACGAAAGUGCGGGGAUCAAACAGGAUUAGAUACCCUGUAGUCCGCACAGUAAACGAUGAUUACUCGAUGUUGGCGAUACACAGCCAGCGUCUUAGCGAAAGCGAUAAGUAAUCCACCUGGGGAGUACGCCCGCAAGGGUGAAACUCAAAGGAAUUGA
rnacentral:rRNA from 1 species